rnacentral:rRNA from 1 species
AUUGAACGCUGGCGGCAGGCCUAACACAUGCAAGUCGAACGAGUGGCGGACGAGGGAUGAAUGUCUGGGAAAUUGCCUGAUGGAGGGGUAUAACUAAGGGAAACGGUAGCUAACUCCGCCUACUAUCGGAGGUGCCUAGAUGGGAUUAGUUAGUAGGUGGGGUAACGGCUCACCUAGGCGACGAUCCCUAGCUGGUCUGAGAGGAUGACCAGCGACACGGGAACAGAUGCACUGAGCAGACUCCUACGGGCGGCAGCAGUGGGGAAGUUUGCACAAUUGGAGAAAGCGUGAAGGAGCCAUGCCGCGUGUAUGAAGAAGGCCUGAGGGUUGUAGAGUAGUUUAAGCGGGGAGGCGUUACCCGCAGAAGAAGCACCGGCUAACUCCGUGCCAGCAGCCGCGGUAAUAC